AUGAGAACUGGGUGAACAAGUGUAGCGACGUUUCCUCAAUCACAGAGGAAGAAGAGGUCUAAGAAAAUGAGGAAAGCAGAGGCUGGAUUUGAAUUUCAGGAAGAUGCCGAUAAAAAUGGAGAUGAGGUGUCGAAGAAGAUUGGUGUCAACUUCAAACAGAGUGAGCCGCACAACAAACCAAGUUCUGGAGGUGAAAUUGAAGUGAAUGAGGGGGCUCGAUAUGGGAACCGGAACUGGGGAUAAGUAUUUGUAAGACAGUUCCCUGACCCACUGAGCGGACCGAUAGGGGGCUAAAUUCCACUCGGAGCAUACUACCCUAUUCAUUUGAGCUGGAAUACACUGAAGAGGAGUUGAGGCAGCAACAACAAGAAUUGCAAGACCAGCGAUGGGGAGCCCCAGUCAGACUCCGACUGGUGGUGCCGAUGCGGGUGCUGUCCAGCCAUGCCGACCGAAGAGGAAUGUUUGUGCUGCAACUAAUUAGAUCGCCGACAGUUCUUACUGGAGAGGGUCACUGCAGACCCCAUGGAUCAUGUGUCUGUGACAUCAAAGUUUCAAUGCACAUAUGGAUAGAGAUGUGUUGGAGACGUUCUUCAGAACCUCAAGGAUCAAGAUCAACUGGCAGCGACAGCCUAGAACAGCUGGACCAAGAGGGCAAAUGACAAACGAACAAUACAUCUCGGUGGCCUGCAGAUUCUUUUUGGAGUUUGUUCUAUGUGGGAAAAGCUAGGCACAAGACACCGAAUCCCCUUGCCUGCCCCUUACAAAAAGAGACUGCAGUUUUGACACUGCAGUAAAAGUGCAGUAACUGCCGUCGUCAGUGGUAUUUUGGACGCAGUAAAUGCAGAAUAACUGCUGUGUACUGCAGUUGAACUGCAGUUAUACUGCAAAAUUACAGGACAGUAUGUUGGAUACAAAUAAGCUGAUGACUCAAAAGGAGAUGUGAAAGGUCCAUAACAACAAUCUUCCCUUGUAUCAAAGUGACUUCGAACACCUCCCUUCACCUCCCUGACGCACCAUAUGCAAUUUGUAGAACUGUCAUAUUUAUUAUAGGCGUUAGUAGUAUAUUUUUCUUCUACUGUAUAUAUGUCAUGCAUUGCCUUAACUGUUCCUGCAUACUACUGUGUAAACUCACCUCGGUCUCGAGAGCAAAUAAACUUUGUCUUGAAUACAAUCCAUGUCUACUUGCUACAUUGAGACUAAUCUACAAUUUAAUUAAAACAUGUUUACAUGCCAACAAAAUGAAAGUUGAAAUGUUUGGUUUUACCAGUAAGAUUGUAGCUAGUUACUUCUAAAUACAUCCCAUGAAUAUCACAAUAAAUUGAUCCAGAAGUCAACACUAUUGGUUUCUGAUGCAGCUGGAAUCAUUUAGUCACUUGCAGUACACGUCAAAAAGAUUAGAUAAAAUAUCUUAUCAAACUCC
rnacentral:lncRNA from 1 species